UGGACGACGCUGGCGGCGUGCUUAAAACAUGCAAGUCGAACGGACUUCUCAUGAAGCUUGCGAUUGAGAAGUUAGUGGCGGACGGGUGAGUAGCGCGUGGGCAACCUGCCCCUGAGCCCGGGAUAACAGUUCGAAAGGACUGCUAAGACCGGAUAUACUUGCGGGGAAGCAUUUCACUGCAAGGAAAGGGAACGCUCAGGGAUGGGCCCGCGUCCCAUUAGCUAGUUGGUGAGGUAACGGCCCACCAAGGCGACGAUGGGUAGCCGGCCUGAGAGGGUGAACGGCCACACUGGGACUGAGACACGGCCCAGACUCCUACGGGAGGCAGCAGUUGGGAAUCUUCGGCAAUGGGCGCAAGCCUGACCGAGCAACGCCGCGUGAGUGAUGAAGGUUUUCGGAUUGUAAAGCUCUGUCUUCCGGGACGAUAAUGACGGUACCGGAGGAGGAAGCCACGGCUAACUACGUG
rnacentral:rRNA from 1 species